rnacentral:rRNA from 1 species
GACGAACGCUGGCGGCGUGCUUAACACAUGCAAGUCGAACGGAAAGGCCCUGCUUUUGUGGGGUGCUCGAGUGGCGAACGGGUGAGUAACACGUGAGUAACCUGCCCUUGACUUUGGGAUAACUUCAGGAAACUGGGGCUAAUACCGGAUAGGAGCUCCUGCUGCACGGUGGGGGUUGGAAAGUUUCGGCGGUUGGGGAUGGACUCGCGGCUUAUCAGCUUGUUGGUGGGGUAGUGGCUUACCAAGGCUUUGACGGGUAGCCGGCCUGAGAGGGUGACCGGCCACAUUGGGACUGAGAUACGGCCCAGACUCCUACGGGAGGCAGCAGUGGGGAAUAUUGCACAAUGGGCGGAAGCCUGAUGCAGCAACGCCGCGUGCGGGAUGACGGCCUUCGGGUUGUAAACCGCUUUCGCCUGUGACGAAGCGUGAGUGACGGUAAUGGGUAAAGAAGCACCGGCUAACUACGUACCAGCAGCCGCGGUGAUACGUAGGGUGCGAGCGUUGUCCGGAUUUAUUGGGCGUAAAGGGCUCGUAGGUGGUUGAUCGCGUCGGAAGUGUAAUCUUGGGGCUUAACCCUGAGCGUGCUUUCGAUACGGGUUGACUUGAGGAAGGUAGGGGAGAAUGGAAUUCCUGGUGGAGCGGUGGAAUGCGCAGAUAUCAGGAGGAACACCAGUGGCGAAGGCGGUUCUCUGGGCCUUUCCUGACGCUGAGGAGCGAAAGCGUGGGGAGCGAACAGGCUUAGAUACCCUGGUAGUCCACGCUGUAAACGGUGGGUACUAGGUGUGGGGUCCAUUCCACGGGUUCCGUGCCGUAGCUAACGCUUUAAGUACCCCGCCUGGGGAGUACGGCCGCAAGGCUAAAACUCAAAGGAAUUGACGGGGCCCCGCACAAGCGGCGGAGCAUGCGGAUUAAUUCGAUGCAACGCGUAGAACCUUACCUGGGUUUGACAUGGAUCGGGAGCGCUCAGAGAUGGGUGUGCCUCUUUUGGGGUCGGUUCACAGGUGGUGCAUGGCUGUCGUCAGCUCGUGUCGUGAGAUGUUGGGUUAAGUCCCGCAACGAGCGCAACCCUUGUUCACUGUUGCCAGCACGUUAUGGUGGGGACUCAGUGGAGACCGCCGGGGUCAACUCGGAGGAAGGUGGGGAUGACGUCAAGUCAUCAUGCCCCUUAUGUCCAGGGCUUCACGCAUGCUACAAUGGCUGGUACAGAGAGUGGCGAGCCUGUGAGGGUGAGCGAAUCUCGGAAAGCCGGUCUCAGUUCGGAUUGGGGUCUGCAACUCGACCUCAUGAAGUCGGAGUCGCUAGUAAUCGCAGAUCAGCAACGCUGCGGUGAAUACGUUCCCGGGGCU